rnacentral:lncRNA from 1 species
GGUACUAGGUGAGAAGGAGAGCUAAACCAGCAGAGCAGCAGCAGCAGAGGCAGAGGCAGCUAGGCAGUCAAUUAGGAAAGUUGGUGUGUGCUCUCAAGCAAGAGUGUUGAAGUGAAGGAUCAGAUUUGUUGGUUUGCUAAGUUAGAGAAAACUUUGUGUCAAGUAGUAGCCAUCAGGAGGUUGAAGUAGGGGGAUCACCAAUCAUAGUCAGCAGUUUAUAUUGGAGCUUGGUGUACUCAACUCUGAAUAUUCUUUUUGCAGUUCAUCUAUGUUUAGGGAUUUAUAAGUGGUGUCUUUCUUGUGUUUUAUACUAGUAGUGUUACCUUUCUUUUUACUAGUAGCCAUUAGUUAAGAUUCCUUUUUUUAGUCAUCGUGCCUUGUUGCCUCUAUGCAAGUUGUGAUCAUCCAAGCAGAGGAAUUAUAAUCCUUCAGCUCUUCUCCCCCUGUUUCUCCUGUGAACUAACUGCCUCUAUGCAACUUGUGAUCACCCAAUCCCCUUGAGCACUGCUACUGAUAGUGACAAUUAUAAAUGCUAAUGCGCCGCAAACAUCAUCAGUACUAUAAUAAAACAGCAAGACACACAUAAUGCAUAGUACUUAUGAUGUGUAAGGGGACAGAGCACAUGGUCAAAUUCAAGGUCCUGGUCCUGGAGCACACUCAUCUGUGGCCUGUCCAUUCAUAUAAUAAAUUGAUGAUUGAUGGCAAUGAACAUUCCCAUGUCUACCCCAGAUGGACAGAUGCUCAAUUGGAUUGGAUUACCUUGACCAUGUGCUCUGCUAGUGCUACAACUCAUCAAAGAGAGUGGGUCACAUCUUUCCAGCCACCAAUCCAAGCCAUAUUAAGAGAUUCACACCCAGUCGUCGCCUCUACAUGCUCCAAUCAACACAAUUUCAUAUGAAGGACAGAAGUUCAUGAGAGCACAGGAUGGGUAAAUUCCUAUUAAGAUAUUGGGGUAAGAAUGGGCUUUCAGAUUUUUCCAAAGGAAAAAAAAUGGGCUUUCAAAUUAAUGAAGUUAUUUGGUCUUGGUUAACAGAGAGUACCUACAUGCCCGCUAGGGAGCUCCUAUUCAUCGCCGUUAAGGAAGGAGUAGCCUCGUGAAUUUUUAUUUCUUUAUUCCGAGAACUGUUUUUUUCUUAGAUUUUAUAGAAACAAAAGGGCAGUAAAAUAAAGACUAUUCAUAAAAUAAAAUAAAAGGUCCUCUACCUCUAUAAAAUAUUCAUGUUUAGUAAAAAAAUAAUGUUAAAGAAAAUUACGUAUUUUUAAUACUUCUUGAGUUAGAAAAGAGUUCAUGCCCGAUAUAUGUUCAUACACUUCUAUAAAACAAUUAGCAUAUUUUCCCCCAACCACCAAAAAGAGAAAAUAAUAAAAACAAAAUAAUAUUUAAGGAAAAGGUUAGGAAAAAAUGAAAGAAAAAAUGAAAAAUAAAACGGAGAGAAAAACAAUAGGGAAAAACUAAAAAAAAGAAUAGAACAAANNNNNNNNNNNNNNNNNNNNNNNNNNNNNNNNNNNNNNNNNNNNNNNNNNNNNNNNNNNNNNNNNNNNNNNNNNNNNNNNNNNNNNNNNNNNNNNNNNNNNNNNNNNNNNNNNNNNNNNNNNNNNNNNNNNNNNNNNNNNNNNNNNNNNNNNNNNNNNNNNNNNNNNNNNNNNNNNNNNNNNNNNNNNNNNNNNNNNNNNNNNNNNNNNNNNNNAUAAAUAAAACUUGUUCAUGUGUUGCCAAAAAAGGAUCAUAUAUGUCAACAUAAAUGUACAUGUACUUAUAAAAAUGAAAGUGUUUUUACAUGUGUAAUAAAAAAUAUGCAUGCAAAUCAAAAUAAAUGUUUGUAUAUUUCAAAGAAAUAUUCAUCUGAUGGACAAAUGCUCAACCGCAUUACCUUGACCAUGUGCAUUACUAGCCCUGCGACUCAUCAGGAGUAUGGAUCACCCAACUGAAAAAAGAGUAUGCUACACAUGUUGCAGCUACCAAUCCAAGCCAUUUUAAGAGAUUCGUAUGUGCAACUCCUCUGCCUUAUUAUGUUUGAAGGAAAACAAAUUUGAAAUGAUUCAUAUUUUCUCUUUUGCAGAAAGAAUCCAAUGAUGUGGAAACAACAUUUUGAACUUUUCAAAAAUUCUUAAAAAAAAUCUGGCGUGUUAUAAAGAUGAUUUUCCAUAAACAUUUGAAAUUCAAGUUCAAAUGCACAUUCAUUUGGAAGGUAAGGGAAAACAAAUCAUGCAUCAACAUUGAUGUUGUAUUGUUUGUACUACAUUUGAAAAAUAGUUUUCACUUGGUUUUCAUCAAAGAAAAUAUGUUUCACCUGCACCACCUCGGGCGCAAUCGUGUCCUCUGUUAAUGAUAAUCUAGGUCAAAAACAAACUCCCCCAUCCCCUAACCUUUGUGGCAAUUCCAUAAAAGCUCACAUUCCCAAACUAAAUAUUGUGAAUAGGGGUGGCGCUAGGGGUCAACCUCUUCAAGGAACAACGAGAAAAGGCAAGAAGUAGUGGCACUGCCAAAUGGGACGCAACAGGAGCAAUGCACACUAGAGGAACAUUCUCGCAUGAGAGAGAAAACCAUGAAGGGAAACGAGGGCAGCAUGUAUGCAUUCGCACACUAAUCUGAUCUAUGGAUUGGUCGGUCCAGGGAAAGAAGACCGUCACGGAUCUAGAAAUGUAAGAUACAUGCAUAGAUCUUGAUGUGCCAGAGUCCCGAAUGACGUGUGCAACCUCAAAAUCUGUAAGACAACUAACUAUCCAUUUUUGGAGAUUGACUCGCCGUCCGGGCUGGCCGCAGCCCCGGCGGUGUCAGAUCCAGGGACCCAGGGUCCAUUCCCCUAGGUAUAUUGUCUCCUCGUGGCUCAUCGACGUGGUGGAGAACCUCGAACUCAAGUUCCACUGUGGUCGUGUCCAUGGCGGUGAAAUGAGCCCCCCACCUCUCAUCGGCAAGGAUGUCAGAGGGUGGAGAAGCAGCGGCAUGGCAAGCAGUAGUAGCGCAUAUGCAUGGAAGAGAAGAUGGAGCAGCGGGAGCGCCACACUUUUAGGGAUGGUCUCGUGGGAUAGCAAAAUCUACGAAGGGAAAGGGGAGCAGCAGGUGCGCUUGCGCACCUGGCUGAUCCGAUCGAUUGAUUGGUCGAUUGGGGAAAGAGUACCAUGACGGAUCUAGAAAUAUAAGAUACGCGUAGAUCUAGAUAUGUUAAUUACAUGGAUAGAUCUGGAUCUGUUGUUAGAUACAUGCGUAGAUCUAGAUAUAUUAUAUACAUGCGUGUGGAUCUCAAAGACCAACAUCUGCAGAUAUUAUGUAGAUGCAACAUCAACUCUAUUGAAAAUAACCAGCCUUGUUUUCGAAACCUACUAACAUGAUUGUCAUAAGAAAGAAAACCAGUUGAAGACCAUUGUAACUGAAUUUGUAUUGCACACUCACCUAUGUAACUUCUUGUCAGUUUUGUUGCCCAAGAACGUCCUCGCCUUCGUUCUUCCUUCGAUAGUCCUGCUACGCUUCACCACACCGUUGAAUGUGACGGUGAGGAGGCGGAAGAUGAAGAUGGGCAGAGGCGCGAUGAUCCCUGCGUAAGAGGAAGGAAGGCGUCAACGUGAAAAAGUAGCAUGCCCACGAAAAAGGGUGAAAAGUAGCUUUACCGUGUUGCAAUGGGAGAGAGUGGCGAGACGAUAAGGACUUCUCGGCAUUAGAGUCAAGGAUGUGCUCUAUAUGAGUAUGAGGGUGGGCUAUACAAAUGGUUGGAUCACAGAUUUAAUUCUAGUUUAGAUUAAUUUUUGUGAAUUGUGCGAUUGGGAGGGAGGAUCGACGUCGACAGUAAGUAUUUAUUGGCAAUAGCGUCCGGGGUGGAGUGGGUGUGGUUUAUAUGUAAAUAGUUAGGAGUUAGGGGUGUGGUCUAUAUGUAAGUAGGAUGGUGGGGUAUACAAAUAGUUGGAUCAUGGAUUAUAUAAGUAAGAGGGUGGGGUAUAUAGAUAGUUGGAUCAUGGAUUUAAUCACAAGAACUAAUUUAGAUUAAUUUUUGUGAAUUGUGCAAUUGGGAGGGAGGAGCGACGGCGACUAUAAGUACUUAGGGGCAAUGACGUUCAGGUGAAGUAGGAUGUGAUUUAUAUGUAAAUAAGAGGGUGGGUAUACAAAUGGUUCGAUCACGGAUUUGACCGCAGAAACGUGUCGCCAGGUUCAAUUUCUAUCAAUUGUGCAAUUGGAAAUUAUUUCCUUUGUUGUACAUUAAUGUAUGAAAUGAUAAACCAAAAAUACACUUGUCCUAUAUAAUUGUAAGUGUCUUCCUUCCUUAUUUCUUACAAUAAAUUGUUUCAAAGCAAAAUCCAUUUUGCACUAAGCUCCUCCAUCACCGACGAGCUAGAGGGUUUUUUUAGGGGUGAAAAACAGUUUAUUCAUCACCGAAAUCCACACGAAGUGGGAUACAUCGAGGGUCAUACGGGUUGCCUAGCCAAAGAUGGUGGCCCAUGCCCUGGCACAGAGAAAAUCUAGCUAAUCUAUGUGCUUCAUAGUUAACAGCACGUCCCUCAAAAGUAAAAACACAAUUGAAACUAGUAGCUUUGAGAUUGAUUUCGCUAAUGAUCGCACCAUGAAUUCCUUGCGAUCCCUUGGCUAUAUCAGCAACAACUUGCUUGCAGUCAGAGGAUACCACGAAGUUUGACAAGUUGAGAUCCUCUACUAGGGCUAGCGCCUCCCGACAAGCAAUAGCCUCUAGUACAGUUGGACAUGCUAAGCCCAAGUCAGCAACAUUGGCGGGGGCGGGGGCACCAAGAUGGACAUGGGCCAGAGGAUGUGGCAGUGGCAUUGGCAGAGGCCAGGCAAAGGCAAGGCCAGUGCAGCUGCGUGUGGCACUGCUGGGUGUGGCGGUGUGCGAUCGUGGCCGUAGAUCGAUGGACAGCGCAUAAUUUUUUUUAUAGAUAUUAGCCAUUUGAAAAUUAAAUAAAUACAGCUAGCUAUGAAAAAAACACAAUUAAUAAAAACAAUCCAUUUUUGGCUGCGUCAGGGUAGCAUGCCUCCGUCUACUUUCAGUUUCAGUACUUUUUUUUUGUAGGCAUUCAGUUUCAGUACUAACCGGAGAGAAAGCGGAGUAAUACAUGGCAAGAAAGCGGAGCUAUACUCCGCAAAAAAAACACGGAUAAGUACCAAAUGCAUUAAUUGUCAAGAUAAAGAAGCAAAUGAUUUACACGACGUGCGGAUGGUACGGUAUUUUUUGGAGUGACUAGCAUGAAUGUAUGCAAACGCGAAGCAACCGGGAGAACAAGGUGCUGGUCGACCGGUGGAAUGCCUCGAUCAAAUAAUAUAUAUGUACCAAGUAUUGAUUUGAGAAAUUUUUGAAUCAUUUUGACCAUAGUUUGCAAGAUAUUCAGAAAAAAAAUAGUCCGAGCCGGCUAGCGUGGCAUUUUUUUUUGCCAUGUGUACACUUACAAGCGGAGCCCACCUGUUAGAGAUCAUGUGAACAAGAUCAAAUAAUGGAUUAGAGCUAGGUGCAACUUUUACACCAAUAGAAGGUGUUAUGUUGCAACAAACCCAAAAAGUAGGCGAUGUGUGCAAAUUUGACCCCCAAUCUGGGUGAUACCACACAUUGGGUGCUACCAUGCUACUAUUUUCUAGAGAACAUAUUUAAAUGUUUCAAAAAAUUCUGAAAAAAUCGUGAGUGUUCAUAAGGCAUAUCCCUAAAACCGCAAAAAGUUCAAAUCAAAAUUCAAAACAAACAAAUAAAAACAAAAAACAAAUUCAGCAUGAAUAAUGUCACAAAAAGCAAGCCAAAAUCAUACUAUUCAAUUGUGUAUUUUUUGACCGUUGGAUCCCAGAUCCACAUAUGAGCACGCGCUGAAGCAGCUGAGCUUAGGUGCUCCGGAGCACCAUCAUUGAUCAGAACUUAUGGGACCUUGGCGAGAUGGAAUGAACAGUUGAUCAGAGACACUCUUUUUUUUA